CGGGAAAAGGGAAAGGCGUUAGGUGGCGGACGGGUGAGUAACGCGUGGGUAACCUGGCCCAUACAGGGGGAUAACACUUAGAAAUAGGUGCUAAUACCGCAUAACAACAGAAAGCGCAUGCUUUUUGUUUGAAAACCAAGGUGGUAUGGGAUGGACCCGCGUCUGAUUAGCUGGUUGGCGGGGUAAAGGCCCACCAAGGCGACGAUCAGUAGCCGGCCUGAGAGGGUGACGGCCACAUUGGGACUGAGACACGGCCCAAACUCCUACGGAAGGCAGCAG
rnacentral:rRNA from 1 species